ensembl:lncRNA
AAGAAAGUGAGACAGGUUUGGCGCAACAUGAGAGUGAAUGAUGAUAGAAUCUUCAUUUUAAGGUGAACUCUCAUGCAUUCAAUGAAAAGGGUAAUUAAAGUACAGUUUGCAUUUUGUUAAAUUGUAUAGGCAAUAAGUUAAUCCUUAAAUGUGUAUUAUCUGAGUAUUUUGUGCCAGAAUUGUUAUUGUUGGAAUCUUAGCACUCAGGAAAAAAAAAAAAGAAAAAAAAUCUGACAACCAGAGGGGACCCCCCCCCCCCCCCAGAAAAAAAUACACAAAAUGUUGUAACAUUUGUACUAAACAAUGUGCAGUUAAAUUGAUAACACAGCAAAUAAUUUUUGUUUGUGUGUAGCUCACAGCGGGCAGUUUACUUUCCAGCUCGCUUAUUCGGUACAACACAUCUGUCACGAGAUCUCUUGGGUAUGUCCUCAGUUCUGAAUCAACUUUUUGAUGAAUUCUUAAUAUUUUCACUCUGACAAUAACACUUACUCUUUAUGAGAAUGAGUCAUACAUGAAAAAUCUUAUCCAAAACAUCCAGAAAACACCAGAGACAAAGGCUGACAAUGAUAACAGGAAGAUCUGGGAAGAGGAACAGCAGAUAUCACACAGUUCUACAGCAAUGGGAAACAAUGGUCUAUAUCCAUGCUCACAGUGCAGGUAUGAUGUUGAGAUCCAGCUUUGACACACGGGACAGUUGAAGGCCUCACGCAGAAUUCAUAAAACAUUGCAAACAUCUGAUGCUUGAGGAGGCAAGGCACAAUAUUAAAGGUAUGUAAACUUUUAAACGAGACAAAAAAAGUUUUUAGCUGUGGAAUAGUUAAAUAUUGGUUAUGCAGCUACUACAGCGAGGAACUGAAAAAAAAAAAACAAUUAUGAUCUAAUUUAUAUAAUAUAAUUUAUAUAACAUGAUUACAUUUGUCUCUUUUCCAUUUUUUAUGAUAUUCUGGCCUAAGUUUUAAAAGAAUACAAAAUUUACAGAUUCUGUAAUGGGAAUGCAAACUUAUGAUCCAAACUGUAAUUAUCACUAUAUAUUUACCGUAAGAGUGGGCUCAGCUAUCUCCAGCCAUGGACAGUUAUUUUAGCUGUACAAAAACAGUCCAUUAUGCUGCUUGAUAUUGCAUAUUUGUUAUCAUAAUAUAAUUUAAAAUACAGUCUUAUUACUUAACAUUAGUUAAUUCAAUUCAAUUUCAUUCAAAAAUGAAAACUUACUCAUCCUUAUGUUGUUCCAAGCCUGCAUGAAUUUCUUUCUUCUGCUGAAUACAAACAAAGAUAUUUUGAAGAGUGUGGAUGACCAAACAGUUUGGUCCCCAUUGACUUCCAUUGGUCCCCACUGACUUCCAUUGACUUUUCUCCAUACUAUGGAAGCCAAUGGCUACCGUCAGGUGUUUGGUUACCAACAUUGUUAGAAAUAUCUACUUUUAUGUUUAAGAAAGAAAUAUAUACAGGUUGGGAACAACUUGAGGGUAAGUAAAUAGUGACAGAAUUUUCAUUUUUGGGUGAACUAUCCCUUUAACUAAGCAAUAUAUGUUAGUUCAGGCGCUUUAAAUAUUAUUAUCAGGUACAUCUGUUGUUUUUAAUAAUGUGGUAGUAAAUGUUGAUUAAAAAAUGCUUAGAAGUAUUUUUCAUUGUUAGUUCAUGUUAACAAUGUACAGUAGUUAACUAAAACGAAAGAGAACAAAUUGAACCUUAUUAUAAAGUGUUACCUAUUAUUUUAAUUUUUUUAUCGUAUUCAUAAACACACUGAUUUACUGCACUUGAGUUAGAACUGCUAUUGUUCUAGUUAUUUAUAUUGGCUAAUAAAUCUGAUAUCUUGCACA